AUUCAAGUACGCUUUUCCUAUUCCCUGUUUGGUUGCUGAGGAAAAUAGAGGAAAAAAUCUCCAGUGCGAGCGAAAAGAAAAUGAUGGAAAAGCCUGCGAGUUUCAUGUUUUCAACACUUUUCCUUUACAAAUGUUUUAAACGAUGGAGAAAUGCAAUGAAAUUUGUUGACAUGGUUUUUGCGUUGUCUCUGCUCUCUAAUGCUGCUCCUAAUGAGAUCUACAUGAUGAAUUCUCAUGCAAAGCGUUUUGAUUUUUAGUUAUUUUAUGUAUAUGUAUGCAUUUUCUGUGGCUAUGGUAGAUUCGAACGCAUUCGAUACGGAGGGCGCAUGAGAAUAUCGAUAAGACAUUGAAGGCUGCAGAGGUUAUAUUGGGAAAAUUCGACCUCACAACUCACAAGCAAGGUUGGUCUCUCUUUUCGAUCUGAGUGAGCAGCAGAGGCGAAGAUACUCAGAGGACCACAUGAGGACCUUGAAAGUUACCUGGAAGCAAUUGAUCGGCUGAGAAGCAUUGUUCGUUUUUUCAGCAGCAAUAGAAGUUUUAGGAGUAGUGGAGGCCUCCUUAACCUGACAAAGACCUUGCUUGCAAAAGCUAUCUCAAAACUUGAAGAUGAGUUCAGACAGCUGUUAACAAAUUACAGGGACACUCAUGCUUCGGUUUUGGAACAGUCUUAGAAAAUUAGGUGUGGAAAAUCUUGUGAAGGAUGACGUCCAGAAAAUGCAGUGAGAGGUUUUGGAGGAUUGGCAAUUGGAUAUAUUACAUGCCAAUUGCUGUCAUGCUGCUCUUUGCUGGGGAAAAGAAAGUCUGCGACCAAAUAUUCGAUGGCAUUGAUUCUCUCAGGGAUCAGUGUUUUGCCGACGUCACUGCAAACAGUGUGUCUCUGCUCCUCAGUUUUGGGGAGGCUAUUUCCAAGAGCAAGAGAUCACCAAAAAUUGUUUGUUCUUUUAGACAUGUAUGAGAUAAUGAGAGAACUCCAGCCAGAGAAUGAACACUUUUUGGAAGCGGCUAGCUCACAGCCCAGGAGACCUUUGGUGAUUUUGAAGAAGCAGGUUAAAAAGAUGCCACCAAAACUGCUGUACUUGAUGGAACUGUUCAUCCAGAUAUGUGAUAAAUUACGUAAAGUUUCUUUUGAAUAAGUUGUAAUCACUCUGCCUUCCACUUCCUGUAGCUGGUUGGGCUCAUGGCCCUUAAUUUUUUUAGCGGUAGUUGAUUGUUUAGUCUAAGUAAUAUUACAGGUUAUCUUUCUCUAAUUUAUAAUUGUAAUGGUUACCUUCUGUGAGACAAGUUGUCUUGCCUACAUAUCUUAUCUAUAUUGUUUCUGUGUAUGGGCUUUAUUCUGUACAAUUUCAUUCUAAUAUCACUCCAAGCAGUUUCCUUUAUGUUCUACAGAGACCAGUUUUGCUCCCACCCAGCACACACACAUCAACCCCUUUUCCGGUUUCUUGGUUUUGUCACUGCUACAAUUGUCUUUGGUCAUUGUCGUAGCUUUGAUCAAACAAAAUGCAUGACUGUUGGGUAUCUCAUGUGCUCAGCUACCAAUCGACAUUGAAGCUGCUUUUUCAGGAGUUCAAUGAUUCUGAUCCGGAAGCUCAGUUAUCAUCCAUAACCACAAGGAUUAUGCAGGUGGUGCAGUAUAACCUGCAUGGAAAAUCCAAGCAGGACAAAGAUCCUGGAUUGACACAAUUGUUUCUUAUGAACAACAUUCAUUACAUAGUGAGAUCGGUUCGGAGGUCAGAGGCAAAGGACUCUUUGGGAGAUGACUGGGUGCAAAUACACUCAGCAGCAUGCAAAUGAGUAUAAGAGGGUUUCUUGGGC